rnacentral:rRNA from 1 species
UACAUAGGUGGCAAGCGUUAUCCGGAAUUAUUGGGCGUAAAGCGUGCGUAGGCGGUUUAUUAAGUCUGGUGUGAAAUAUUACAGCUUAACUGUAAAGGGUCAUUGGAAACUGGUAAACUUGAGUACGGUAGGGGCAAGUGGAAUUCCAAGUGGAGCGGUGGAAUGCGUAGAUAUUUGGAGGAACACCAGUAGCGAAGGCGGCUUGCUGGGCCGGAACUGACGCUGAGGCACGAAAGCGUGGGGAGCAAACAGG